rnacentral:misc_RNA from 1 species
CAUAAGAGCUGGCUUGCCUGGGAUGACGGUGGGUCAGUCAGCACAUCGGUGUCUGACCUGUCGCUAUCGCGGGCAAGCCCGCUCCCACA